GCUAGCGUUGUUCGGAAUUACUGGGCGUAAAGCGCACGUAGGCGGCUUUGUAAGUUAGAGGUGAAAGCCCGGAGCUCAACUCCGGAAUUGCCUUUAAGACUGCAUCGCUUGAAUCCGGGAGAGGUGAGUGGAAUUCCGAGUGUAGAGGUGAAAUUCGUAGAUAUUCGGAAGAACACCGGUGGCGAAGGCGGCGACCUGGUCCGAUACUGACGCUGAGGCGCGAAAGCGUGGGGAGCAAACAGG
rnacentral:rRNA from 1 species